rnacentral:rRNA from 1 species
UACGGAGGGUGCAAGCGUUAUCCGGAUUUACUGGGUUUAAAGGGUGUGUAGGCGGGCUGUUAAGUCAGUGGUGAAAUCUCCGGGCUCAACCCGGAAACUGCCAUUGAUACUAAUAGUCUUGAAUUCUGUUGAGGCUGGCGGAAUAUGUCAUGUAGCGGUGAAAUGCAUAGAUAUGACAUAGAACACCGAUUGCGAAGGCAGCUAACUAAGCAGAUAUUGACGCUGAGGCACGAAAGCGUGGGGAUCAAACAGG